UGGCAGUCUGUGCAGUCCUUGCCUAGACACCCUGGUCGGGCUCCCUCUUAAGAACUGUGGAAUUGGAAAGGGUCUUAGAAGACUUAAAGUCCAUCUUUUUCUGAGUUACAGAUGGGAAGACUGAGGCCUGUGCAGAGAAAAGGGAAUAUACAAGAAGAAGAAGAAGAAGAAGAAGAAGAAGAAGAAGAAGAAGAAGAAGAAGAAGAAGAACAACAACAACAACAACAACAACUACUAUCUAUGCAGGCUUCUGAGGCACUUUUUAAUACUUGGUUAUUAAACCUAGAAAUGAUGUGUCUUCUGA